rnacentral:snRNA from 1 species
GUGCUCACUUUGGCAGCACAUACACUAAAAUUGGAACAAUACAGAGAUUAGCAUGGCCCCCGAACAAGGAUGACAUGCAAAUUCAUGAAGCGUUCCAUGUUUUU